GUUUAUCUAGUGUUAAAAAACUGAAACAAGAAGUGCUUCUGGACCAGUGUUGUUUACAUCUUUUGAAAUGGUCUAUAGACAUAGUGACUUAAACACUGUACCCAGUCAACAUGUGAGAUCACGCGAUGAUCACAGAAAAAUCACACCAUUUUCAUACUGUGACAUUCUUAUCUUGUGAGUUAUGUGCAAGCUCUUUGUGAAUGUUGAGUUCAUGGUAUCAGUGCACAAUGAGCGUGCCAUGACCUCACAUAGUGACCAUAGUAUGAGAUCACUGUGAGAGUACGGUGAACUCACAACCUGACCAUAAUUUGAGCACACAGUGGAUGUGCCGUGACCUCACAUCGUGACCAUAGUAUGAGCACAGCAAGUGUGUCGUAAUAUGAUUUGAGCACACAGUGAGUGUGCCGUGACCUCACAUCGUGACCAUAUUAUGAGCGCACACUGAGUGUGCUGUGACCUCACAUCAGGGCCACAGUAUGAGCGCACAGUGAGUGUGCGGUAACCUCAAAUUGUGACAAUAGCCUGAGUGACCUCACAUUGGUGCACUCACAGUACACUGACCUCUCUUCCGAGGUGCAUAAAUUCAAAAUAUGUAUUCGGAGUGUCAUGUGUGUUGCUUGUCAUUUCAAAAUAUGUGUACAUUGCUUCAUGUGAACCAUGUGCAUCACGUGUCUUGCCAAAAUACAUGCCCUGCUGCACAUGCAUCAAAAGUUUUUAUGAUAGAAGAGACGCUCACGUUCACAAAAUACUCACAAGACACUAACUUAAUAAACUCUGAUUACACAUGAGAUUAAGUGAGUAUCUGACAAACGCGAGUGUCUUUUAUUAUAAACUCCUUAAUUCGAAGCAUCUGCAGCAGGUUUGUAUUAUGACAUCCCGCAAAGUACCAUCAAGAUGUUGCUCAGAGAGCUAAUAUGCUAGGAUUUGCUAUUUGAAAAACAGGUCACUGAGAUGUCAACAUUUAUUUGCAAAUCAUACAGUGAACCCAUAACAAGUCAUGAACACACACAUGCACUGAGCAAGUAUCACUGCAUCACCCAAACACUGCAAUCACUUUCUUCCAGCUGUGGAAAUCAAACCAACAUCCUCUGGGUUACAAACAAGUCUGAUUCUCUAACCACUAGGCCACAAUGCUUAAACACAUAUCUGUCAAUCCCGGUCACUUUUACUUAAAAUCUGUGCUUUCUAGAAUCUUUAUUUGUAGGCUUCUUCAUGCCAUAACCUUGUUGUUGACAUUUUAUAUGAUAUAUACACACCAUGCACAGGGCUGUAUAAAAUGCUGUGUAGAAAGUGUCCUAAAUUUUGAGCCUAUGAUCAUUCCUAUAUUUCUUAAAAUUAUAGGUAAGAAGGGUGACGUUCUACUCUUGGGCCUACGUUUUCCAGACAUAUGUGUUGUCCUGCUAUGACAAAGUGAGUGUGCUGUGACCUUACAUUAUUAUGACCAUGGAAUGAGAGCACAGUUGUACCAUGAACUCACAUCGUGACCAAUGUGAGGUCACUCAUACUAUUGUUACAAUGUAAACUAACUUUGUGGCCUACUGGUUAGCGAGUCAGACUUGUUUGUAACCCAGAGAUUAUUUGUUCAAUCCCACAGAUAGCAAGUUAUUGAAGUGUUGGGGUGCUGCAGUGAUAGUUGCCCUGUGUGUGGGGUGUGCAUAUAUGUGUGUGUGUGGUUUUUGUGUGUUCAUGACUUGCAGUGGAUGGGUUAAAUGCAGAGAAAUUCAUGUCUUUUUUACUUUUUCUUUUAUUUUGCCCGAUAUCAGUUGCAAUUAAAUAGUGACAUGUUUCCAAUAGCAAAAGCUAGCAUAUUAGCUCUCUGAGCACCCUGCUGAAAAAAAACAGCAUCAAACCAACAUGGACCAGCAUGGGAAUGCUGGUCUAUGCCGGUUUAGCUGGUGGUCACCAGCAUACCAGCACCAAAACACAAAAUAUGCUGGUCAUGCUGGUAUGGCCAGCAUGGGAUGCUGGUGCUAAUGCUGGUUUGGUGCUGGUUUAGCUGGUGCUAAUGCUGGUUUAGCUGGUGUUCACCAGCAAACCAGCAACAAAACACAACAUAUGCUGGUCUUGCUGGUAUGCUGUUUUUUAGCAGGACAAAUCUGGUACUUGCAUAUGGUGGGCUUUAUGGGGUAGUACAGUGAGUGUGAAGUGAUCUCAUAUUGUGACCGUCACAUGAGCACACAUUGAGUGUGCAGCGUGCUUACACAUUAAGAUCACUAUGACCCACACAAUCAGUAUCUUGUGAGCUCAUGGUGACUUUCCUUACGAAAAUUAACCAUGGUUUUACUACAGUUAAAACCAAAAAAGCAUGGUUACUGUAGUAAAACCAUGGUAACCACAAAAUAACCAUGGUUUUGACAACCAUGUUUUUCUAAAACCACAGUUAAACCAUGGUUAGUAGCCGUUAAGUGUAGUAAAACCAUGGUUUUGCUGAUAGUAAUCAAUACACCAAAAAACUAUGGUUACUACACUUUUACCACAAUAAAACCAUGGCUAAUUUUCGUAAGGGUUCACUGAGAGAUCACAUUGUUCCCUAGUGAAUGAUGCCCCAAGUCAAAGACCCGAGGUGACAUUGAAGGGUUAACCUGAAGUAGUAAAACCAAAAGAAAGUCAGCAUCUCUUUAGUGUCCUCACUAAUAUAAGUUAGUUGAAAUUACUAGUUUGUCUUCCACCCAGUGCAAGCGUUUUACAUGAACCCCCAAACCCCACCCAGAAAAACAUAGCACAACUUAUUAAAGUUUAUUUAAUUUAUUUUAAUGUUUGAUUGUUCUGUGAAAUACAGUGGUAUUAAGUGCUAAAAAAAUCUACGCGUUUUUUUUUUUUUUUUUUUUUCGUCACUGGGUCAAUACAACGUAGUGCGCAUGUGUCUGCAGGAAGAGGCGCGGUGGCGGUAUGCACCAGUAGGUGUAACCCGCCAUAAAAUUGAAAGAAGAAGAAGAAGAAGGAAGAGCCGCUUGUGCGCAUGUGCGUGCAUGCAUCCAGAGGUUACCACGCGAGACUGAGUAAAUACAGACAGGUGGAUAUUAAUCAGUUCGAUGACUAAAAUACUUCUUGCCAUCAACGGACAACGUUUCAUACUACAGUACGUGAUCUGGAGCUUGACUUCACCUGUUUUGUGGUGGUUAACAAAUUGUGCGGUGCUUUUGGCAUUGUCUAUCCAUGUAUAAUUGUGAUGUUCCAGGAGUGUUAAUGGAAGCUACACAGUAUGUAGAUGUUUGUUCCAUUAUAUGUAUGUGUGUGUACCUGGUAAUUAUCACGUUGUGGGGACCUAAUGUCCCCACAAAGAUAGGAAUACCAGUAAAUUUUGACCUCGUGGGGACAUUUGUGAGGUCCCCAUGAGGAACCAAGCUUAUAAAUUAAACGGAAUGAUUUUCUUGGAUUUUUUCUUGAAAAUCUAAGGUCGCAGAAAGUUUUCUGUGAUGGUUGGGGUUAGGAUUUGGGGAAGGGAAUAGAAUAUACAGUUUGUACAGUACAGUAUAAAAUGCAUUAUGUCUAUGGAAUGUCCCCACAAAAGAUGGAAACCAGAAUGUGUGUGUGUGCGUGCCAUGGAACAAAUAUUUAUUUUUAUAGCUUUUUGUGUGUUCUGUUUUUGACUUUCCCCCUGAUAUCAAGACACCAAAAUAAUAUUUUAAUACGCAUUUUCAUGUGUUUGUAAAGAAAAUAAAGUGUACUUCACUGUUUUUUGUGUUAUUCUUUAUUCUGACAUUUACACUUUUGUAGUCAGCCCACACAGAUUUAGUUUAUUUUGAUUUAUAUAGCACUUCUAACAGUUUUUAUUGUUGUAAAGCAGCUAUACAUACAAUUAUAAUUAAAAAUAAUGGUGAUAGAAAUUGAUAAAAUAAAAUAGACAUUAUAUGGUAGGAAAAUACUUAAUUAUAUAUUAAUUAUAUAUAAUUAUAUAUUAUUCUCAAUGUACAUACGGUAAAUGAAAACUGAAGUAAGGGACAAAAAUUUCAAGUGUGUUGCUAAUAUUGUAAGGGAUUUAAAACUUGUGGUUCUUUACAAAAUACUUGCCUGGACUAUUCACUGUACUCCUGACUUUUGUCAGAUUUAUUGACAGGUCUUUCUGUUACAUUACUGAAUUAGGUAUGUGUCCAGUGGCACAACAAGACUCAAAAUGGAAAACAAGCUUUAAAAGUCCAAGAAUUGAUGUAAAAACUUAUGUAUCUGGAAUUACAGUUUAAUUGUAAAAAUACAAAUAAAUAUAAAACUAAGAACAUUU